CCAUUGUAUAAACUUAAAUGUUGGAAUACUGUUCUGGUCAUUCAGAAACACAGUUUCAUGUUACAUAAAUCCUGAUCCUGAGUGCCCAAGGCCGAGGCUGGCUCCUGAAUCAGACCCCUGCCAGCAGAGUUUCCAGGACCAGUCCAAAUUCGCCUGGCUAAGAGCAGGAAGGACUCCACGGGGCAGGCACGUUUACGAGUAAGUGAUGGGAUUCUUUCUGCUGGUAAAGAAAAUGUUCUUGGCUAAAUUCACAUAAUCUUAGGCACUGAUGAGUAUCCUCCUGGCUUCAUCUUUAAACUCUGCUGAAAGAAAUUGUGUUUAUUUGGCUCUUUCUGCUUGCCCUCAGGU
rnacentral:lncRNA from 1 species